rnacentral:rRNA from 1 species
GACUCUUAGCAAUGGAUCACUCGGCUCGUGCGUAGAGGAAAAACGCAGCUAGUCACGAGAAUUGGAGGACACAUUAAUCAUCGACGCUUCGAACGCACCUUAAGGCCCCCCGGGUUCCUCCUGGGUCUGCGCCUGUCUGAGGGUCC